rnacentral:rRNA from 1 species
GAUGAACGCUGGCGGCGUGCUUAACACAUGCAAGUCGAACGUGAGGGUGUAGCAAUAUGCCUGAAAGUGGCGAACGGGUGAGUAACACGUAGAUGACCUGCCCUGGAGUGGGGGAUAACCAUUGGAAACGGUGGCUAAUACCGCAUACAUCCAUAUUUCUGGGAAGAGAUGUGGGGAAAGCUCUGGUGCUCUGGGAGGGGUCUGCGUCCGAUUAGCUAGUUGGUGAGGUAAAGGCUCACCAAGGCGACGAUCGGUAGCUGGUCUGAGAGGACGAUCAGCCACACGGGAACUGAGACACGGUCCCGACUCCUACGGGGGGCAGCAGUGAGGAAUAUUGGGCAAUGGGCGAGAGCCUGACCCAGCAACGCCGCGUGGAGGAAGACGGCCUUCGGGUUGUAAACUCCUUUUGACAGGGAAGAGAGAGGACGGUACCUGUCGAAUAAGUCACGGCUAACUACGUGCCAGCCGCCGCAGUAAAAC